AGGGCAUGAGAGGGUCUCUGAGCAGGGACGGCAGGGUGGGGGGCUCACCAGGCAGGCCCCAGGCAGAGCCCCAGGUGCUGAAUAUGGCAGGGAGACGGCAGAGAGCCUGGUGUGGCUGCAGAAAGGGGAUCCUGGGUGCUGGGGGUGCAGGGAGGACUUGGACAGACGGGGAGGGCUAUGCCUGGCCCUGCGGAGCCACAGAAGGGUCUUGGUCAGAGUGUGGCCACAGCUCUGCUUUCAGGGGCCUGCUUCAGCCUGGCUCAGCACUGGCUGUUGUGGGAGUGAACCAGUGGAUGGAAGACCUCCCUUUCUUUGUAAUUCUUUCAAAUAAAAUAAAUCUUAAAAAAAAAAAAUCCAAAGACAG